rnacentral:rRNA from 1 species
AGUGAACGCUGGCGGUAGGCCUAACACAUGCAAGUCGAACGGCAGCACAGUAAGAGCUUGCUCUUACGGGUGGCGAGUGGCGGACGGGUGAGGAAUACAUCGGAAUCUACUUUUUCGUGGGUGAUAACGUAGGGAAACUUACGCUAAUACCGCAUACGACCUACGGGUGAAAGCAGGGGAUCUUCGGACCUUGCGCGAUUGAAUGAGCCGAUGUCGGAUUAGCUAGUUGGCGGGGUAAAGGCCCACCAAGGCGACGAUCCGUAGCUGGUCUGAGAGGAUGAUCAGCCACACUGGAACUGAGACACGGUCCAGACUCCUACGGGAGGCAGCAGUGGGGAAUAUUGGACAAUGGGCGCAAGCCUGAUCCAGCCAUACCGCGUGGGUGAAGAAGGCCUUCGGGUUGUAAAGCCCUUUUGUUGGGAAAGAAAAGCAGCAGGUUAAUACCCCGCUGUUCUGACGGUACCCAAAGAAUAAGCACCGGCUAACUUCGU